rnacentral:sRNA from 4 species
AUGUGCCCUCGGGCACUCCGGUUCCUCCGCGUCGUCCGCACCAACCUGACGAUUAACCGCUCCGCUGUGUUCACU